UGCCCAGGCUGAUCUUGAACUCCUGGGCUUAAGCAAUCCUUCCACCUUGGUAUCCCAAAGUACUGGGAUUAUAGGCAUGAGCCACCUUGCCAGGCCUCCAGAGGCAUUUUGAUUGGAAGAGAAGACUUCUUGGGAAAAGAAGUCAUAUCUGACCUGAAAACCACCAUCCAGAGGAAAAUAAGUUUUGUCAACUCUCAUCUUGAUUGCAUUCACAAAAGAGGAGGAAAUACCCCUUGUUAGAUGUGGGACCUCAUUCUCAGCCCAGAGUCCAAAGAAGGUGAUGAAGCCUUGCUCUCCGGGAGAAGCGGCUGCCUAACUCAUGUCUCCUUGUGACCCAGGACCCAGAAUCCGUCACUACAGGUUUGAGCCCUUCUCCCUGGUGGGACCCAGAAGGCCAGUCUGGCAGAGCUGUGGAGAACCAGGUAAGCUCUCACAUCCACCCUGCCUGACAUGUAGUAAGCCCCUCCUCACCUCUUUAAAGAAGACCAAAGAAAGUGGGUUUACGAUUUCUCAGGAAGGUUUUGCUUCUGUUGUUUUUCCUUCCCAACUUCCCAAUUGUCUAUUGUACCCGCAAACUCCCUACCCUUCGGUUCCAGAUCUAGUGUGUCUCCUGCAGCUUCUGUCUAAAUGAAGGAUUGCCCUUUUGGUCCCUAUUCCAGCCCUUCCCCUCUGGGAAAUGAUGUAUGCCUUCCAGAACUUCUAACUUUACCACACCCUGAUGGUGAGCUGGGUACUGUGUGGCUGGCAUUGUUCUUAAUUACCACGCUCCAGGUCUUCACACAGAUGGGCUUGUUUGAUCCUCACUGUGUUCCUAUGAGGAUGGUGCAAUUAUGAUCUCUAUUUCUUUCAAAAAUAGAGAUGGAGUCUAGCUGUGUUGCCCAGGCUGGUCUCUAACUCCUGAGCUCAAGCGAUUCUCCCCACCUCAGACUCCCAAAGUAUUGAGAUUACAGGCAUGAGCCACCGUGCCUGGCCUAUCAUCCCCAUUUAAAAGACAGAAAAUCUGAGGUGCAAGGAGGUUAAACAACUUGCCUGAGAUCCCAGUUAGAAAGUGUUAAGUUUGAACCCAAGUAGUGUGACUCUAAGCACCAGCUCCCAACCACAUCAUUUUAUUGCCAUCGUAACUCUAAUGUUUAGAAUCUGUUGGAUACUCAAAGGUCUUGGCGUGUCCUAAAUUUAAAUAAAUAAAUAAGUAAAUAAGAAUCCAUGGGAAUUGCAAAAAGAAGCAUGGUCUUUGUUCUACGAAUGUUGUUUGUUCUUUUU